GCAUCGGUGGUUUAGUGGUAAAAUUAGCCGUUGCCAUAGUGAUUCACCUCUUCUGAGUUGUCUCCUGACAGUUUCGGCUAGCCCCGGGUUCGAUUCCCGGCCGAUGCA